UACGUAGGGGGCAAGCGUUGUCCGGAUUUAUUGGGCGUAAAAGGCUUGUAGGUGGCCACGCCAAGUCGGAUGUGAAAUCCCCCGGCUCAACUGGGAGGGGUCAUUCGAUACUGGCGGGCUCGAGGCCGGUAGGGGGAAGUGGAAUUCCCGGUGUAGUGGUGGAAUGCGUAGAUAUCGGGAGGAACACCAGUGGCGAAGGCGGCUUCCUGGACCGGUUCUGACACUGAGGAGCGAAAGCGUGGGGAGCGAUCCGG
rnacentral:rRNA from 1 species